CGCGUAGGCGGAAAUGUAAGUCAGAUGUGAAAUUUCGAAGCUCAACUUCGGAGCUGCAUUUGAAACUACAAUUCUCGAGGAUUGACGGAGAAAACGGAAUUCCACGUGUAGCGGUGAAAUGCGUAGAUAUGUGGAAGAACACCUGUGGCGAAAGCGGUUUUCUAGUUUAUAACUGACGCUGAGGCGCGAGAGCAAGGGGAGCAAACA
rnacentral:rRNA from 1 species